rnacentral:tRNA from 1 species
UGCGGGGUGGAGCAGUCUGGUAGCUCGUUGGGCUCAUAACCCAAAGGUCGCUGGUUCGAAUCCAGCCCCCGCUACCA